rnacentral:lncRNA from 1 species
GCCCAAGCCAGUAAUAAUUCACUAGAAAAGUCAAUUUACAAUUAGUUUAAACAUUGCUAAAUCUUAACUAACUUGGUUUUGCGCGCCCACACUUCCCAGAACUCUGAGCCACUUUAGAUAUUCAAGAAUGAACCUCAUUCUUUAUCUCGAAACUCUAAGCACCUCUUCCCAAAAUUCUAGAACUUUGAAGGCUAAUUGGCAAAGGUAGGGUUAGGUUUUGGUGUUUGAUCUAUGAAGGGUUUGAAUCAAGAGAACUUCGAAUGUGUUGUUUGAUCUUCAAUAAUGUAUUCUUUAUAAUGAAAGAAUGAUUCAACAUACAUUUGGUAUUAGCUAGGCUUGGAUAUUUAUAAUAUGAACUGUUUGGGGAGCAAAAUAGAAUAAGAAAACAAGUUGUUUAAUUGAAAAAAGAUUUACACGGAUAUAUAUGAUGCUCGAGCAUGAGGCUAGUAUCAGGUUCUGCUUCAAUUUGCGUUGCAUUGCGUUGCUC